AUCAGAUGUCUUGCGAGACGUGUCAAUGCCGUCGUGCUAAUCGCACUAACUUUUAUCACAAUCACAAACGGCUCGAGUUCUAAGGGUCGAAGCACAAAACAUGGCGUAAUGAUUAAGACAGACGUAGUCGUAGUCGUAUGCAACGCACAAGCUUUGUCGUAUGAUUGUGUCGUGAUCUGUGAUUGCCUAUUCAACGGUAGGUACAUAACCUGAUCAUAUCUAUAAAUAAAUUAAGAACUAAAACAUCUAAAUAUGCUUUUUAAUUAUAUUUAGUUACAAAAAAGAAAUAAUAAUAUUAAUUAUAAUAACAUUUCUUUUACUCAAGCAAACUGAUACAAUAUAUCUGUUGGCAACUAUACUAUCAUAUUGCCAUAUAAUAAUGACGGAAAUAUUUAUUGUAUUUAACAUUAUAAUAAACAAUGAGUAGUAUUAUUUUAAUUUCAAGUUGUUCUGAAAGUAAAAUAAUAACACACUAACAUUGAAUAAUAAUAUAAGGUUUAUGAAAUUCAUUAUAUAUAAAACAACAUCUUACAUAGCAUUUUCUGGAUCAAAAACGUCUCAUGUAUAUUUUAGAAACUUUAAAAACAAGAUGUUCUUAAGAUAUCUGGGAUCAGUUAUUAUUCUCAUAGAGAUGCUUGUAUAAUAAACAAUUGUGUUUUUAGGAGAAUAUGUACGCAAUAACUAAAAUAAAAAAUACUGAUUUUUUAAUUGACGUGCUUCAUUGGAUGAGUACAUUUAUUUUGCUUAUACGAAAAAAAAACAAAUUCGAUGGUUACAUAGGCAAUGGCAUACUAGACCAAUAAAUCAAAGACGAGCUCGAUUUGGAGAUUAUAAAAAUUUAUUCCAAGAAUUAAAAAAUGAUCGAAAUCUAUUUUAUACCGCUACACUAGAAUAAUACUUAAACAAUUUACAAAAUUGGUUGAAUUAACUACGCCACAUUAAAAAAAAAAAUGUACGAGCUCUUAUUCCAGAACAUCGAUCUAUAAUAAUUUUAAGGUACCUUGCUACAGGUAAUUCACCAUUGUCAAUAGCUACAGCAUUUCGAGUUGGAGAAUCUACAGUCAAGAAGAUAAUAAAGGAAGUUUGUCUAGUACUUAUAAAUGUUUUACCACUGUAUCUUACUUUUCCUACUGAAGAAAAUUGAAAAGAAUGUGCGGAUGGAUAUUGGAAGCGAUGGAACCUUUCUAAUUGUUUUGGAUCUGUUGACGGCAAACAUAUAAGAAUGCAGUGUCCUCCAAAUUCUGGAACAUUAUUUUAUAACUAUAAAAAAUAUUAUAGCAUAGUUUUAAUGGCAGUAGCAGAUCAUUUAUAUAGAUUUACAUUAGUUGAUAUAGGAGCUUAUGGAGGUAAUCUUAUAAGAUAUAAAUAUUUAAGGGGUUAUACUACUCAGCAAAAAAAUUUUUUUCCGUUUUUUUUUAUUGGCUUAAAUGAUGCAUAAACUAUCUAAAAAUGAUAUUCCAGCAAAUUAUAAGUAAAAAAAAAUUUUUACAGCUUAUUUUCUGAGGCGCCUCCGAGCGCUUUGGAAUGUUAGAAAAUGCCACUCUGUCACGCGCAGCAUUUUGGAGCGUUGUAGUCAAGUCGGUAUUUAUAUCGGUAGAAAUAAAAGUCAUACUUUCUCAAAUUAAGUGUUAAUUAAAUGCGAAUGAAAGUUUAAACGCCGUCGUUUGGAUAGUAGCGCCGAAAUCGGUAUCAAGUGGCAAAACCGUUAUUGAUAUAGCGACUAAUGUUGCUGCAAUCACUUAUAAUGAUGGUUUUCAAGGAUUACUUGCUAUAAUGAGUACACUUGAACAACUGAAGAUUAGCUACGAAUUUUAUAAUUAUUGUAUGGAAAUCGAUGAACGUUCAAGCUGCAAACCGCUCAGCAUCAAUAAACAGAAAAACGCGCGGAAGGACCUUAUAUCGCUUAGAAAGGAGGCUGAAGAGCAAUAUUUAGGUUUGGAAGGAAUGUUUUACGGUCCUGGGAUAGCAGAGUGAAGGAGACAGUGAUGGAAGAAUUUUUAAUGAUUCUCAGAUAGGAAUUAAACUAAGUAAUGAGCAAUUAAAUUUGUCAAAAGGAACUGUUAAUCCUCCUGACAGCAAUUUGAAGACAUUCGAAUAUUUUGUUGCUGAUGAUGCCUUCAGACUUUCAAAUAGAAUAAUGAAACCUUAUUCAGGAAAAAAUUUGAGUGACAAACAAAAAAUUUGUAAUUACAGAUUUUCUAGAGCACGUAGAACUGUUGAAAGCGCCUUUAGAAUCUUUGCCAAUAAAUAGAGAAUAUUUCACACAGCCAUGUGUAUACUAUCUGAAACCGCUAAUGUUGUUGUUAUAGCUUCUGUCUGUUUGCAUAAUUAUGUGCUAAAGGAAGAACAACGCAGUGGAUAUAAAUUUUAUAGUAAUGAAAUAACUUCAAAUAAUAUUAUAAAUGAGGGUGCAACUUAGUUUUCACUACCAAAUGUUGAAGAAUGUAGUGAUAAUGUCCAAGAUGCUCAAGCUCAACGAAAUACAUUAUGAGAAUAUUUUGUUUCUCCAACGGGAGAAUUGGAGUGGCAAUAUGAUUUUGUCCAUAGAGGUGUACAUGCAGAUAAAUAAAAUAUAUAAAAAUAUGAA